rnacentral:lncRNA from 1 species
ACAGUUGAAAAAUCUUGUGUGACAGGUCGUGGUUUUACUCCCUUGAGCAAGGAGGUUUCCACGUAAAAUCUCUUGUGCAUAUUUUACUUGGUGCUGUUUAUUUUUGCACUUUAAUUCUGUCGAAGGACCUGAUCUUGUGAUCACUGGUAUUAGAGCUUGGGCUCUCUAUCUGGUUAAGACCAAGAGAGAGAUUCCUGCGAGGAAUGGCGAC